ensembl:snRNA U1 U1 spliceosomal RNA
AUACUUUCUGCUGGCAAGGCAGAUACCAUGAUCAAGAAGGUGGUUCAAAGAGGGCUCAGCCAUUGCCUCAAAUGUUGGAAUCUAUACUCCAUAAUUUCUGGUAGUGGGGCACAGCAUUUUGCUCUCCCCUG